rnacentral:rRNA from 1 species
CUAGCGGCAGGCUUAACACAUGCAAGUCGAGGGGCGAGCGGGAUGUAGCAAUACAUUGCCGGCGACCGGCGGAUGGGUGCGUAACGCGUAUGCAACCUACCUAUACAGGGGAAUAACCUUCGAAAGGGAGACUAACACCCCAUGGUAUUGAUUUAAGGCAUCUUAGAUUAAUUAAAUAUUUAUAGGUAUAAGAUGGGCAUGCGUAUGAUUAGCUAGUUGGUAAGGUAACGGCUUACCAAGGCGACGAUCAUUAGGGGUUCUGAGAGGAAGGUCCCCCCACACUGGUACUGAGACACGGACCAGACUCCUACGGGAGGCAGCAGUGAGGAAUAUUGGUCAAUGGGCGCAAGCCUGAACCAGCCAUGCCGCGUGCAGGAAAGACGGCCUUAUGGGUUGUAAACUGCUUUUACAUAAGACUAACCGUAUAUUUGCGAAUAUACCUGAAUGUAUUAUGAGAAUAAGGAUCGGCUAACUCCGUGCCAGCAGCCGC